rnacentral:rRNA from 1 species
CGUAUAUUAAAGUUGUUGCAGUUAAAAAGCUCGUAGUUGAAUUUAUGGAGGUACUUUAGGUCCACUUGUGAUACCAAAAAAUACCUUCAUCUUUAGGCGGAACUUCUGUGUCAUUAGCUUGUCGCGGAGGGUAUGUCUAUCAUUUACUGUGAAAAAAUCAGCGCGUUCAAAGCAGGCUUAUGCCGGUGAAUGUAUUAGCAUGGAAUAAUAAGAUAGGACCUUAGCACUAUUUUGUUGGUUUGCGUACCGAGGUAAUGAUUAAUAGGGACAGUUGGGGG